rnacentral:rRNA from 1 species
GGAAUUCGAUUAGAGUUUGAUCCUGGCUCAGAUUGAACGCUGGCGGCAGGCCUAACGCAUGCAAGUGGAGGGGGAGAGAGGAGCUUGCUUCUCUUGAGAGCGGCGGACGGGUGAGUAAUGCCUAGGAAUCUGCCUGGUAGUGGGGGAUAACGUUCGGAAACGGACGCUAAUACCGCAUACGUCCUACGGGAGAAAGUGGGGGAUCUUCGGACCUCACGCUAUCAGAUGAGCCUAGGUCGGAUUAUCUAGUUGGUGAGGUAAUGGCUCACCAAGGCGACGACGGGUAGCCGGCCUGAGAGGGCGACCGGCCACACUGGGACUGAGACACGGCCCAGACUCCUACGGGAGGCAGCAGUGGGGAAUAUUGGGCAAUGGAGGAAACUCUGACCCAGCGACGCCGCGUGCGGGAUGAAGGCCUUCGGGUUGUAAACCGCUUUCAGCAGGGAAGAAGCGAAAGUGACGGUACCUGCAGAAGAAGCACCGGCUAACUAUGUGCCAGCAGCCGCGGUAAUACAUAGGGUGCAAGCGUUGUCCGGAAUUAUUGGGCGUAAAGAGCUCGUAGGUGGUUCGUCACGUCGGAUGUGAAACUCUGGGGCUUAACCCCAGACCUGCAUUCGAUACGGGCGAGCUUGAGUAUGGUAGGGGAGUCUGGAAUUCCUGGUGUAGCGGUGGAAUGCGCAGAUAUCAGGAGGAACACCAAUGGCGAAGGCAGGACUCUGGGCCAUUACUGACACUGAGGAGCGAAAGCGUGGGGAGCGAACAGGAUUAGAUACCCUGGUAGUCCACGCCGUAAACGGUGGGCACUAGUUGUGGGGACCUUCCACGGUCUCUGCGACGCAGCUAACGCAUUAAGUGCCCCGCCUGGGGAGUACGAUCGCAAGAUUAAAACUUAAAGGAA